rnacentral:tRNA from 1 species
GGGGCUAUAGCUCAGUUGGUUUAGAGCGCCUGCAUGGCAUGCAGGAGGUCAUCGGUUCGAUUCCGUUUAGCUCCACCA